rnacentral:rRNA from 1 species
UACGUAGGUGGCAAGCGUUGUCCGGAUUUAUUGGGUUUAAAGGGUGCGUAGGCGGUCAUAUAAGUCAGUGGUGAAAUACUUCAGCUUAACUGGAGAGGUGCAAUUGAUACUGUAAGUCUUGAGUGCAGACGAGGUAGGCGGAAUUGACGGUGUAGCGGUGAAAUGCUUAGAUAUCGUCAAGAACACCGAUAGCGAAGGCAGCUUACUAGACUGUAACUGACGCUGAGGCACGAAAGUGUGGGGAUCAAACAGG